CUGGAUAUUGGUCUCUUGGCAUUUAAUUUUUUUUUUCUCAGCUAGAUUCUUUUCUCUGGUGUAUUAAUAGUAUUAUACAUGUUUGCUACUUUGCUUCAUGCAGGAUUAACAGACUCUGCGAGUUGUCUUUCUUUAAUAAGGUUAGAGUAUCUGGUAUCCCAGAUUAUCUCCAAUUUCUUGGAUGUGAUUGCAGAUAUCUUGGAGAUGACAUAGUUCAUAAGAGUUCUGCAGCAGGAAUUAAAUGCCGUUGAGAAGGACAAGGAUGCGUUCAUUGAGGACUUUUCUAAGGAGGACUACAAUGACAUGGUGGAUGGAAGGUAAAAGCUGGCUAGGACUAACUCUAGAGAGCAGAAGGGGGCCUCUUCAUUGCCAAGAAUAAAUGAUUGUGACACCUCAAGUUUUGCAAGUGCAAUAUUGUACUCGAGUUGGAUAUGCAUUUCAGAUAAACAUUGUAUUCAGUUGCUGGUGUGUUGUGUUGUAGACGGUCUUAUCUUAAACUAUGUCGCUGUCCUAUUAGUGUUUGAACGUUUGUUGUCUAUAAUAAAGGAAUCGGGGUUUGUCUUUGCUCA